CCGCCUAAUGUAAUAUAGUAUAAUUCGCUUGUGCGGGCAUCCAUUUUUUUCUGUUUAGAAGUGUCGAAAGGAAUUAACUACGAAUUCAGAGCUCCAAAGAUAUCCUCAAAAGGAAAAAGAAAGAAAUCCAGUAUUUUCACGAGUGUCAAGAAAAGAAAAACUGAAUUCGAAAUGAACUCGGGGAGUGACCGAGGAAAAGAUGGGGAACUGCCAUCGACGUCCAAGUGUCAAUCCCAAGAUGACGAAGGACGACCUCCCAAG